rnacentral:rRNA from 1 species
UACGAAGGGGGCUAGCGUUGCUCGGAAUCAUUGGGCGUAAAGGGUGCGUAGGUGGCGGGGUAAGUCAGGUGUGAAAUCUCGGAGCUCAACUCCGAAACUGCACUUGAUACUGCCUUGCUUGAGUACUGGAGAGGAGACUGGAAUUUACGGUGUAGCGGUGAAAUGCGUAGAUAUCGUAAGGAAGACCAGUGGCGAAGGCGGGUCUCUGGACAGUAACUGACGCUGAGGAGCGAAAGCGUGGGGAGCGAACAGG